UGCACCGUCCUCCAAUUUCUUCAACAACUUUCCAGCCCUCCUUUAAAGUGAGUCAACUGCUACCCUUUGCCUAUCUUGAGUCCGUGAGAUUCUCUUCAUCCCAAAAUAAAAAUAUAAACAUUGCCAAACUCCAAAAUAAAGUUAACUAGAAUGUGUCGGCCCUGAACCUUCCAGCCGCUUGAAUCAAUUUACAAUUUAAAAUGAAAAUUAAUGUAUGUAAAGGUAAGCAACGCGUGUAAGUGCAAAAUAAGGUGCUUUCCAAAUUCCAUCAUCGAGGACGCAACAACAUUGUUGGACCAUUUUCGCAAAUGAAAUCAGCGUGUGCAAAUUAAAUAGAGAAAUGUGAUUGCAACGUCAACUUGUGCCCCUCCGUCCAGCGUCAAUACAUUCCAAGAAAAAUAAUAAAAGAGGAUGGUGGCUGCAGAAAACUCUAGGCACCGUUCCAGCCAAAACACGUUCAAAACCCAGCCAAAAAAUGAAUUCCCGGGAGUGAGUCUGUCUUCAAUGUGACGACUGUAGCACUUUUCUAAGGGGCCAUGUGUUCUCAAAUCGGGGUGGGGUCUACCCUAAAAAUAAAAGGAAACCCUAGGCCAAGUGUCCUACAAUUUUUGGCCCCUCAUAAUUUUUAACAAUGGCCCAAUGUGCAAAAGUUUGUCUAAAAAGUUUAAACAAUUAAAAUUACAAUACAACUAAAAUUUAAAAUGUCUAAUUUGAGAGUCUUGAAUUUAUUUUGUC
rnacentral:lncRNA from 1 species